AUGCUAAGUUUCAGUCCCUGUGUUAACAAUAAGUUUCAGUCAUUCUAUUUUCUUUGUAGUAGUUCAGUAACCAAAUGUAGAUGGUGCGGCGCUCCAGUUUCAGAGGAUGAUUGGAGAUGUACCAGUACAUUUGCAAUGUUGUUGUUUGUUCCUCUUGGUUACCAGGCCUGGGCGAAAGAUCUCUGUCGGCACGACGGACAGCGUGAUUCUCGGUGUGUAGAUGCUGAAGGUUUUUGCUCUCUUGCUUCCUUCACUGAAGUUUUGGGUUUCAGAUGCUCCACCCCUUGCUCUAGUCCAAUGCAUGUAUAUUUGCACCACUUGCUCUGUGGCUCUUUUGCUGUUUGCUUGUGUUGCUUUCAGCAGUGA
rnacentral:rRNA from 1 species